AACGAGCGCUGGCGGCAUGCCUAACACAUGCAAGUCGAACGAUUGCCUUCGGGUGAUAGUGGCGCACGGGUGCGUAACGCGUGGGAAUCUGCCCUUAGGUUCGGAAUAACAGCUGGAAACGGCUGCUAAUACCGGGUGAUAUCGCGAGAUCAAAGAUUUAUCGCCUGAGGAUGAGCCCGCGUUGGAUUAGGUAGUUGGUGGGGUAAAGGCCUACCAAGCCGACGAUCCAUAGCUGGUCUGAGAGGAUGAUCAGCCACACUGGGACUGAGACACGGCCCAGACUCCUACGGGAGGCAGCAGUGGGGAAUAUUGGACAAUGGGCGCAAGCCUGAUCCAGCAAUGCCGCGUGAGUGAUGAAGGCCCUAGGGUUGUAAAGCUCUUUUACCCGGGAAGAUAAUGACUGUACCGGGAGAAUAAGCCCCGGCUAACUCCGUG
rnacentral:rRNA from 1 species